AUUGAACGCUGGCGGCAUGCUUUACACAUGCAAGUCGAACGGCAGCGCGGGCUUCGGCCUGGCGGCGAGUGGCGAACGGGUGAGUAAUGCAUCGGAACGUGCCCAGUAGCGGGGGAUAGCCCGGCGAAAGCCGGAUUAAUACCGCAUACGACCUGAGGGUGAAAGCGGGGGACCGAAAGGCCUCGCGCUAUUGGAGCGGCCGAUGUCGGAUUAGCUAGUUGGUGGGGUAAAGGCUUACCAAGGCGACGAUCCGUAGCUGGUCUGAGAGGACGACCAGCCACACUGGAACUGAGACACGGCCCAGACUCCUACGGGAGGCAGCAGUGGGGAAUGUUGGACAAUGGGGGCAACCCUGAUCCAGCCAUGCCGCGUGCGGGAAGAAGGCCUUCGGGUUGUAAACCGCUUUUGUUCGGGAAGAAAUCCUCUGGGCUAAUACCCCGGGGUGAUGACGGUACCGGAAGAAUAAGCACCGGCUAACUACGUG
rnacentral:rRNA from 1 species